AUGUUCCUGAUGGAGUCAGGGGACAAGAGUGAUAGCAUCAUGGUGUUUGCCAUAGUUGGUGUUGGUGGAAUUGGUAAGACUACCCUCAGCAAGAAGGUCUUUAAUGAUGAGGCCAUCCAAGACAAGUUCACCACAAAGAUAUGGUUGAGUGUCACACAAGAGUUCAGCGAGGUUGAGCUGUUGCAGACGGCCAUCACUUCCGCCAAUGGAAACUUGCCAGGGCCAGGUGGUUGGUCUCAAGACAAAGCUUUGCUUGUGCCGGCUCUUGCGAAUGCUAUCAGAGACAAGAAGAUAUUUCUUGUGUUGGAUGACAUGUGGGGCAUCAAUGAAUGGACCAACUUGCUCAAGGCUCCCUUUAGCCACAGCGCUCCUGGUAGCCGAGUCCUCAUCACAUCAAGACAUGAAGCCAUUGCUCGAGGCAUGAAAGCUGUGCAUCCUUACCACCAUGUUGACAAAUUAGAGCCUGAAGAUGCUUGGUCAUUGCUCAAGAAGCAGGUACUCACAACAGAGAAAACUGAACCUGCAGUUGAUAUGCUUAAGGAUAUAGGGUUGCAAAUCAUAGAAAAAUGUGACGGGUUACCGCUUGCCAUAAAAGUGAUGGGAGGACUCCUAUGCCAGAAGGACAAAGAACGACGUGAUUGGGAAAAGGUUUUGCAUGAUUCUAUAUGGUCAGUAAGUCGUAUGCCAGAAGAGCUAAACCAUGCAAUAUAUCUUAGCUACGAGGACUUGUCUCCAUGUUUAAAACAAUGCUUUCUGCAUUUCUCCCUUAAGCCUAAAAGGAUAAGUUUUACCCACGUACAGUUUGUGGGAAUGUGGAUUGGUGAAGGAUUUGUUCAUGGGGACUCUGAUAAAUUUGGAGAAUUAGGAAAUGAGUACCAUAAGGAGCUAAUAUUGAGGAACCUUAUAGAGCCGGAUCCGUUAUAUUCCAGUCAAACUAUUUGCCACAUGCAUGAUGUUGUCCGAUCAUUUGCUCAAUUUUUGACUAGAGAUGAAGCACUAGUAGGUCAUAGUGGAGAAAUUCUUAAUAGCAAACUUAGUCUGCCAAAGUUUCUUAGGUUUUCUGUAGAAACCAAAGGCGGGCAAUCUGAUGAAUUUGAGUGGAGAUGUUUACAAGAGCAAAAAUUGCUAAGAUCGAUAACAAUAAUUGGGAAUUUCAAGAUUCAGUCUGGUGAUUCACUGAUGAGCUUUUCAAGUCUUCGAACUCUACAUAUAGAGUCUGCAAAUUUUGCUGCAUUGACUGAAUCUCUAUAUCAGCUCAAACACUUGAGGUAUCUAACACUACAAAACUGCAAUGAUAUAAACAGCCUGCCAGAGGACAUUCACAAGAUAAAAUUCCUACAACACCUUGGUCUUGAAGGUUGUAGGAGUCUGGUGAAACUUCCUGACAGCAUUGUCAAGUUAGAGGAACUGAGAUUUCUUGACCUUGACGACACAUGUGUAAAUAGCAUGCCUAGGGGUUUCUGUGCCUUGACAAAUCUGAGGGAACUGUAUGGGUUCCCAGCCUACGUGGAUGGUGAUUGGUGUAGUUUGGAAGAGUUGGGACCUCUUUCUCACCUCGUUCAUCUUGGAUUAAAGGGUUUGGAGAAUGUAGCUGUUACCUCGUCCGCCUUGAAGGCCAUGCUUGUUGCAAAAGUACAUCUUACCUUAAUGAAAUUACACUGCACCAAUACACUUGACAACAAUAGAAGAGUACCCUCUGAGAAGGAACAAGGAAUAAUUGAGGAGGUGUUUGAUGAACUCUAUCCUCCGUCUUGCACCGAAAAUAUUAACAUCCAAGGAUAUUUCGGUCACCAGCUCCCAAGAUGGAUGAUGUCAACAGCAACAUCGCCUCUCAAGAGCUUGAGGUUUCUAACAAUGCAUGAACUGGUUUGUUGCACCCAACUCCCUGAUGGCUUGUGUCUGCUCCCAUGUCUUGAGCUCCUAGCAGUUGACCGAGCGCCAGCUAUCAAGCGUCUUGGGCCUGAAUUUGUGCAGUCCCCGGAUCACCGUCAUCAUCCUUCAUCCCAGAUGACAACUUCUUUUCCAAGACUGCAUCAGAUGAAACUAAAUGCAUUGGUGCAAUGGGAGGACUGGGUGUGGGAGGAGGAAGUGCAAGCUAUGCCCCUCUUGGAUGAGCUUAGUAUCGUAAGAUGCAAUUUGAGGUGUAUCCCCCCCGGCCUUGCAUCCCAUGCAAGGGCUUUGAAAAAAGUAUAUAUGAGCAACAUCGAGCGCCUCGACUCUGUUGAAAACUUUGGUUCCGUCACUGAGCUCAGGCUGUCUCACAUGCCCGAGAUGACUAGGAUCACUAAUCUUCCCAAAUUGCAAAAUCUUGAGAUCAGCUUCUGCUCAAAGAUCGAGUUACUUGAGCAGAUGCCUGCACUCAGAAGACUUGCGCUGAAUCUAGGGUACAGUGAGAAACAACUACCGCUAUACCUACAGGCUGUGAAGCCAAGUCAUUUUUUGUUGAACUGCAGCCGAAAGGUACUCACCUCCAUGGCUUCGGGAAAAUCUGGCUCGGAGUGGUUCAAGUUCAGCCACAUCCAGCAUGUUGAGGUUUAUGCAAAUGAUGGAGGCAAUGAGAAAAAAUGGCACCUACUGUACACAAGAGAGCCCUACAAGAUCGAUACAAAUGUUGUGCAGGAUUACUCAGAUGAAUAA
rnacentral:rRNA from 1 species